GACGGAGGGUGCAAGCGUUGUUCGGAAUUACUGGGCGUAAAGGGCGCGUAGGCGGUCUGCUAAGUUCGGUGUGAAAGCCCCUGGCUCAACUGGGGAACUGCGCCGGAAACUGGCAGACUAGAGUACCGGAGAGGAGGGUGGAAUUCCUGGUGUAGCGGUGAAAUGCGUAGAUAUCAGGAGGAACACCGGUGGCGAAGGCGGCCCUCUGGACGGAUACUGACGCUGAGACGCGAAAGCGUGGGGAGCGAACAGG
rnacentral:rRNA from 1 species